AGUCUUAAGUUAAUAUUUAAGGUAAAAUCUGCUCCAUGAUUUUUAUUAAAUAGCUGUAGUAAUACACUAAGGUAGCAUAAUCAUUUGUUUUUUAAUUGAAAACUAGAAUGAAGGAUCACACGGUUAUAAUUUCUAAUAAAUAUAUUUUUUAAAUUUUAAAUUCUAAUAAAAAUGUUAGAAUACUGUAUAGGGACGAAAAGACCCUAUGAAGCUUAAUUAAUUAAAAUUUCAAAAUAUUUUAAUUAAUUUGGUUGGGGCAACCUUUUAAGAAAACUUAGCUUAAAAAAAUAUAAAUAAUUUAUUUUAAUUAUGGAUCCAUAAUUUAUGAUAAUAAGAUUAGUUACUCUAGGGAUAACAGCAUAAUUAAAAUUAGAAAGUUCAAAUUGACAGUUUUGAUUGUGACCUCGAUGUUGAAUUACUAACCUAUAAGGAGAAUGUUCUUUAUAAGGAGGUCUGUUCGACCUGUAAAAAAGUACA
rnacentral:rRNA from 1 species